GGUUAUGGCUUAGUGGUAGAGUGCUUGCCUUGCAUGUGUGAGGCACUGGGUUCAAUCUUCAGUACCA
rnacentral:tRNA from 1 species